AUUCUGCCCACACCAGUUAUCCUAUUGAAAGAGGGGACUGAUAGCUCCCAAGGCAUCCCCCAGCUUGUGAGUAACAUCAGUGCCUGCCAGGUGAUUGCUGAGGCUGUAAGAACUACCCUGGGUCCCCGUGGCAUGGACAAGCUUAUUGUAGAUGGCAGAGUUUCUGAAGCAGGUGAAACCCUAUGUGGAGGAAGGUUUACACCCCCAGAUCAUCAUUCGAGCUUUCCGCACAGCCACCCAGCUGGUAUG
rnacentral:lncRNA from 1 species